GACGAACGCUGGCGGCGUGCUUAACACAUGCAAGUCGAGCGGAGCGGCGAACGGGUGAGUAACGCGUGAAUAAAUGCCCCCCUCUCUGGGAUAACAGUUGGAAACGGCUGAUAAUACCGGAUAGUGGGGGAUGACUCGCGUCCUAUCGGCUUGUUGGUGGGGUAGUGGCCUGUCAAGGCGACGACGGGUAGCCGGCCUGGGAGGGCCGCCGGCCACAUUGGGCUGAGGUACGGCCCAGACUCCUACGGUGGGCAGCAGUGGGGAAUAUUGCACAAUCGGGGAAACCCUGAUGCAGCAACGCCGCGUUCGGGAUGACGGCCUUCGGGUUGUAAACCGCUUUCAGCCAUGACGCGGUAGUGGCAGAAGAAGCACCGGCUAACUACGUGCCAGCAGCCGCGGUAAUUC
rnacentral:rRNA from 1 species